rnacentral:rRNA from 1 species
GACGAACGCUGGCGGCGUGCCUAAUACAUGCAAGUAGAACGCUGAAGGAGGAGCUUGCUUCUCUGGAUGAGUUGCGAACGGGUGAGUAACGCGUAGGUAACCUGCCUGGUAGCGGGGGAUAACUAUUGGAAACGAUAGCUAAUACCGCAUAAUAGUAGAUGUUGCAUGACAUUUGCUUAAAAGGUGCAAUUGCAUCACUACCAGAUGGACCUGCGUUGUAUUAGCUAGUUGGUGGGGUAACGGCUCACCAAGGCGACGAUACAUAGCCGACCUGAGAGGGUGAUCGGCCACACUGGGACUGAGACACGGCCCAGACUCCUACGGGAGGCAGCAGUAGGGAAUCUUCGGCAAUGGACGGAAGUCUGACCGAGCAACGCCGCGUGAGUGAAGAAGGUUUUCGGAUCGUAAAGCUCUGUUGUAAGAGAAGAACGAGUGUGAGAGUGGAAAGUUCACACUGUGACGGUAUCUUACCAGAAAGGGAUGGCUAACUACGUG